GUCAAGGUGGUGGAGUGGUUAACACGUUCGCCUGCUAGUCUCGGCAACGAGAAAGCCCAGCGGAUGCCUUCGGGCGCGCAGGUUCGAAUCCUGUCCUUGACG